rnacentral:rRNA from 1 species
GAUGAACGCUGGCGGCGUGCCUAAUACAUGCAAGUCGAGCGAACAGACGAGGAGCUUGCUCCUUUGACGUUAGCGGCGGACGGGUGAGUAACACGUGGGUAACCUACCUAUAAGACUGGGAUAACUUCGGGAAACCGGAGCUAAUACCGGAUAAUAUUUCGAACCGCAUGGUUCUAUAGUGAAAGACGGCUUUGCUGUCACUUAUAGAUGGACCUGCGCCGUAUUAGCUAGUUGGUAAGGUAACGGCUUACCAAGGCAACGAUACGUAGCCGACCUGAGAGGGUGACCGGCCACACUGGAACUGAGACACGGUCCAGACUCCUACGGGAGGCAGCAGUAGGGAAUCUUCCGCAAUGGGCGAAAGCCUGACGGAGCAACGCCGCGUGAGUGAUGAAGGUCUUCGGAUCGUAAAACUCUGUUAUUAGGGAAGAACAAACGUGUAAGUAACUGUGCACGUCUUGACGGUACCUAAUCAGAAAGCCACGGCUAACUACGUG